rnacentral:tRNA from 1 species
UUCAUUGGAGUAUUAAAUAUAUUAAGUUUAGAACUUAAAGAUUAAAAUGAAA